GCCAAUUUGGUCUAGUGGUUAAGGCACCAGACUAGAAAACAGGAGAGCUUGAGUUCAAGUCCUCAAGCUGGCU
rnacentral:tRNA from 1 species